AGAGACAGAAGGAGGGGCCACACUGAAAGACUAAACAGAAGCGGAGGGAGCGCCGCCGUCUGACACACCAGCAGUCUGACAAACAGUCUGACAAAGUCUGACAAAUUCUACAGCAUGUUUCUGCAGAUGCUGGCCUUUCUGUCUGUCCUCACAGGUGGCAGUCUGGCAGAUAAAAUCACACCAUUUCAAAAUGUACUGUAUGUGUCAGAAGAAACUAAAGUUACCCUUUCUUGUAACUACACCGGAGGAGCAUCAAGUGAGUUAUUCUGGUAUCGACAAUAUCUUGGAUCAAAGCCAGAAUUUAUUAUGUACAUCAUUGAGUCUGGACACAACAGGUCAGUUGAGAGUGCUCGACUGAGUGUUCAUAUUAGUAAGGACGUCAAAAGGGUGGAUAUGAAGAUCUCCUCUGCAGAGGCGUCUGACUCUGCAGUUUACUACUGUGCCCUGAAGCCCACAGUGACAGGAAAUACUACAAUCAUGUACAAAAAGCAUCUGAACUGUUAGGGGUUACUGCAUAGUCAUUGACAAUCUCUUGCAAAUCAGUCAUUCAUGCAUACAGUGGGCGUUACUUUCAAAUGGCCACUUCAGUCGCGCAUUACGCGGCGUGAAGCUGCGUGAAACUUUAGUACCACUUUCAGCCA